rnacentral:rRNA from 1 species
CGUCUAUAUACGUAUAGCAUAUCAAUAAGCGGAGGAAAAGAAACUAACUAGGAUUCCCUCAGUAACGGCGAGUGAAGCGGGAAGAGCUCAAAUUUGAAAUCUUCAAGGUUCUACCUUGACGAAUUGUAGUUUAAAGAAGUGUUUUCUGUUGAAGUUUCGGUAAAAGUUCUUUGGAAUAGGACAUCAUAGAGGGUGAGAAUCCCGUAUUUGACCAGUUACUUUCCAACUGUGUGAUACACUUUCAAAGAGUCGGAUUGUUUGGGAAUGCAGUCCAAAAUGGGUGGUAAAUUUCAUCUAAAGCUAAAUACUGGCGAGAGACCGAUAGCGAACAAGUACCGUGAGGGAGAGAUGAAAAGAACUUUGAAAAGAGAGUUAAACAGUACGUGAAAUUGUCAAAAGGGAAGCGUUUGACACCAGUGUUGUUUUCUCGAAAAUCAAUUAAAAAUGGUGGGAUUUUGUGUUGUAUUGACUUUAUCAGCUUUCUGCACUUUUUUCUUGUCUUUUUUAAUGCACUUUUCGUUUAACAAGUCAACAUCAAUUUCUUUUGUUGUAAAAGGGUCAUUGGAAGGUGGCUUUCUUUUCGGAGAAAGUGUUUAUAGCCUUUGCCUCUGCAAUCGGAGAGAUUGAGGUCUGCAGCGUAGAUCCUUCGGGGUUAGAUGCAUUUGUGCUAAGUUAUAGCCUUUCAUAGACAACUUGUUGACUAUGAUUAGUCAUUGUAGCUUACUCGCUUAUGUAAUUUUACCUACGCUUAGGAUGUUGACGAUCAGCUGAGCGCG